rnacentral:tRNA from 1 species
GAGAGAGGCCCGACGGCAAUAAAGACUGCUAAUCUUCUAUCCCCAAAGUUAAACCCCUUGGCUCCCUCG